rnacentral:rRNA from 1 species
AUCGGGGCUGGGUGAGUCGACCCCUAAGGCGAGGCCGAAAGGCGUAGUCGAUGGGAAAAUGGUUAAUAUUCCAUUACUUCUGUGUAAUGCGAUGAGAGGACGGAGAAGGCUAAAUCAGCCUGGCGUUGGUUGUCCAGGUGAAAGGAUGUAGGCAUGUAUCUUAGGCAAAUCCGGGGUACUCUAUGCUGAGAUCUGAUAGCAAGCUGUACUUGUACAGCGAAGUGGUUGAUGCCAUGCUUCCAGGAAAAGUCUCUAAGCUUCAGUUACACAGGAAUCGUACCCGAAACCGACACAGGUGGUCAGGUCGAGUAGACCAAGGCGCUUGAGAGAACUCUGCUGAAGGAACUAGGCAAAAUGGUACCGUAACUUCGGGAGAAGGUACGCUGUUGUUGGUGAUGGAACUCGCUUCCUGAGCUGACGACAGCCGCAGAAACCAGGCCGCUGCAACUGUUUAUUAAAAACAUAGCACUCUGCAAACACGAAAGUGGACGUAUAGGGUGUGAUGCCUGCCCGGUGCUGGAAGGUUAAUUGAUGGGGUUAGCGUAAGCGAAGCUCUUGAUCGAAGCCCCAGUAAACGGCGGCCGUAACUAUAACGGUCCUAAGGUAGCGAAAUUCCUUGUCGGGUAAGUUCCGACCUGCACGAAUGGCAUAAUGAUGGCGGCGCUGUCUCCAGCAGAGGCUCAGUGAAAUCGAAAUCGCUGUGAAGAUGCAGUGUACCCGCGGCUAGACGGAAAGACCCCGUGAACCUUUACUGCAGCUUGACACUGAACUUUGACCUUACUUGUGUAGGAUAGGUGGGAGGCUUUGAAGCUGGAACGCUAGUUCCAGUGGAGCCGUCCUUGAAAUACCACCCUGGUAAUGUUGAGGUUCUAACUCUGUCCCGUGAUCCGGGACGAGGACCGUGUCUGGUGGGUAGUUUGACUGGGGCGGUCUCCUCCUAAAGAGUAACGGAGGAGUACGAAGGUGCGCUCAGCGUGGUCGGAAAUCACGCGUAGAGUAUAAAGGCAAAAGCGCGCUUAACUGCGAGACCCACAAGUCGAGCAGGUACGAAAGUAGGUCUUAGUGAUCCGGUGGUUCUGUAUGGAAGGGCCAUCGCUCAACGGAUAAAAGGUACUCUGGGGAUAACAGGCUGAUACCGCCCAAGAGUUCAUAUCGACGGCGGUGUUUGGCACCUCGAUGUCGGCUCAUCUCAUCCUGGGGCUGAAGCAGGUCCCAAGGGUAUGGCUGUUCGCCAUUUAAAGAGGUACGCGAGCUGGGUUUAGAACGUCGUGAGACAGUUCGGUCCCUAUCUACCGUGGGCGCUGGAAAUUUGAGAGGAUCUGCUCCUAGUACGAGAGGACCAGAGUGGACGAACCUCUGGUGUACCGGUUGUGACGCCAGUCGCAUCGCCGGGUAGCUAUGUUCGGAAGGGAUAACCGCUGAAAGCAUCUAAGCGGGAAGCCUACCUCAAGAUAAGAUUUCCCUAGGACUUUAUGUCCUCUAAAGAGCCGUUCGAGACUAGGACGUUGAUAGGUUGGAUGUGGAAGCAUAGUGAUAUGUGAAGCUGACCAAUACUAAUUGCUCGUGAGGCUUGACUA